AUCUAUGGCCAUACCAUCCCAAAUGCACCCAAUCACCACUGAUCUUGCCAUCUAAGUACGACACACCCUGGGUAGUAUUUGGAAGAGAGAAGAAACUCACUAGCUGAGGAGCUGUUGCUG
rnacentral:rRNA from 1 species